ACGGCUCAGUAACACGUAGUCAACUUACCCUGCGGACGAGGAUAAUCUCGGGAAACUGAGCAUAAUACUCGAUAGAUCAUAAUGCCUGGAAUGGUUUAUGGUUGAAAUGAUUCGUCGCCAUAGGAUGGGACUGCGGCCUAUCAGCUUGUUGGUGAGGUAAUGGCCCACCAAGGCGAUUACAGGUACGGGCUCUGAGAGGAGAAGCCCGGAGAUGGGUACUGAGACAAGGACCCAGGCCCUAUGGGGCGCAGCAGGCGAGAAAACUUUGCAAUGUGCGAAAGCACGACAAGGUUAAUCCGAGUGAUUUCUGCUAAAG
rnacentral:rRNA from 1 species